rnacentral:rRNA from 1 species
AUUGAACGCUGGCGGCAGGCCUAACACAUGCAAGUCGAGCGGUAGCACAAGAGAGCUUGCUCUCUGGGUGACGAGCGGCGGACGGGUGAGUAAUGUCUGGGAAACUGCCUGAUGGAGGGGGAUAACUACUGGAAACGGUAGCUAAUACCGCAUAACGUCUUCGGACCAAAGUGGGGGACCUUCGGGCCUCACGCCAUCAGAUGUGCCCAGAUGGGAUUAGCUAGUAGGUGGGGUAAUGGCUCACCUAGGCGACGAUCCCUAGCUGGUCUGAGAGGAUGACCAGCCACACUGGAACUGAGACACGGUCCAGACUCCUACGGGAGGCAGCAGUGGGGAAUAUUGCACAAUGGGCGCAAGCCUGAUGCAGCCAUGCCGCGUGUGUGAAGAAGGCCUUCGGGUUGUAAAGCACUUUCA